AAUAAGGUGCCCGAUUAAUAGGACUAUUUUGAUAGAAUAGAAUAUGUAUAAUUAAUAUACCCUUAUUA
rnacentral:tRNA from 1 species